AUUGAACGCUGGCGGCAGGCCUAACACAUGCAAGUCGAGCGGGGUUUUCGGACCUAGCGGCGGACGGGUGAGUAAUGCGUAGGAAGCUACCCGAUAGAGGGGGAUACCAGUUGGAAACGGCUGUUAAUACCGCAUAAUGUCUACGGACCAAAGUGUGGGACCUUCGGGCCACAUGCUAUCGCAUGCGCCUACGUGGGAUUAGCUAGUUGGUGAGGUAAUGGCUCACCAAGGCGACGAUCCCUAGCUGGUUUGAGAGGAUGAUCAGCCACACUGGAACUGGGACACGGUCCAGACUCCUACGGGAGGCAGCAGUGGGGAAUAUUGGACAAUGGGCGCAAGCCUGAUCCAGCCAUGCCGCGUGUGUGAAGAAGGCCUUCGGGUUGUAAAGCACUUUCAGUAGGGAGGAAGCGUUGUGUGUUAAUAGUACACAGCGUUGACGUUACCUACAGAAGAAGCACCGGCUAACUCUGUGCCAGCCGCCGCCGUAAGAC
rnacentral:rRNA from 1 species